CCCGGCGAGGGGAGUGAAAAAGAACCUGAAACCGUGUACGUACAAGCAGUGGGAGCACGCUUAGGCGUGUGACUGCGUACCUUUUGUAUAAUGGGUCAGCGACUUAUAUUCUGUAGCAAGGUUAACCGAAUAGGGGAGCCGAAGGGAAACCGAGUCUUAACUGGGCGUUAAGUUGCAGGGUAUAGACCCGAAACCCGGUGAUCUAGCCAUGGGCAGGUUGAAGGUUGGGUAACACUAACUGGAGGACCGAACCGACUAAUGUUGAAAAAUUAGCGGAUGACUUGUGGCUGGGGGUGAAAGGCCAAUCAAACCGGGAGAUAGCUGGUUCUCCCCGAAAGCUAUUUAGGUAGCGCCUCGUGAAUUCAUCUCCGGGGGUAGAGCACUGUUUCGGCAAGGGGGUCAUCCCGACUUACCAACCCGAUGCAAACUGCGAAUACCGGAGAAUGUUAUCACGGGAGACACACGGCGGGUGCUAACGUCCGUCGUGAAGAGGGAAACAACCCAGACCGCCAGCUAAGGUCCCAAAGUCAUGGUUAAGUGGGAAACGAUGUGGGAAGGCCCAGACAGCCAGGAUGUUGGCUUAGAAGCAGCCAUCAUUUAAAGAAAGCGUAAUAGCUCACUGGUCGAGUCGGCCUGCGCGGAAGAUGUAACGGGGCUAAACCAUGCAC
rnacentral:rRNA from 1 species